CAAGAAGCACAAUGAUGUCCUGGCUUG
rnacentral:piRNA from 1 species